ensembl:lncRNA
GUCCUGGACCAUUACGAGCGUGAAGGAUUCCAGUUUUGUCCAAGGUGUUCAACUCGUCUCACUCCUUCCUGGAGGAUUUGACGGGUCUGACCCUGCUUGCAUCAGGAGACACAGGCUGCUGAGAUUUGGGACAUGAGUGAUGAUGAAAGUAUCUGAAGACCGAUCCGUAGACGGACGAAGCUGACGCAGGUCAUCACUGGACACCUUGGCCAGCCUGCAGGACAUUACCAAAACUUGGGUAUCACUCAGAUGGAGCUUAACAUUAUUAAGACAUUCCUCGAUAAUGAAAUGAUGGUGGAUCCAGCACACUCUUAUUAACGAGGAAACGCAACAAUUCUGUUUACUCGCAGGGGAGCCUGGAGACUAUACCAGGGAACUCGGGGCACGAGGCGGGGGACACCCUGGACGGGGUGCCAACCCAUCACAGGGCACAAUCACACACCUAUUCACACACUACGGACAAUUUGGAAAUUCCAAUCAGCCUACAACACAUGUCUUUGGACUGGAGGAGGAAACCGGAGGAAACCCUCGGAGUACAACGAGAGAAUGCCAACUCCGCACACACCGGGCAGACGCAGGAUUCGAACCCCCAACCACGGAGGUGCCAGGCAAACGUACUACGAUCUAAGCCACCAUGCCCUCCAUAAACUGAACUAGAAGACC